GACGAACGCUGGCGGCGUGCUUAACACAUGCAAGUCGAACGGUAAGGCCCUUCGGGGUACACGAGUGGCGAACGGGUGAGUAACACGUGGGUGAUCUGCCCUGCACUUCGGGAUAAGCCUGGGAAACUGGGUCUAAUACCGGAUAGGACCCUGGGAUGCAUGUCCUGGGGUGGAAAGCUUUUGCGGUGUGGGAUGGGCCCGCGGCCUAUCAGCUUGUUGGUGGGGUGAUGGCCUACCAAGGCGACGACGGGUAGCCGGCCUGAGAGGGUGACCGGCCACACUGGGACUGAGAUACGGCCCAGACUCCUACGGGAGGCAGCAGUGGGGAAUAUUGCACAAUGGGCGCAAGCCUGAUGCAGCGACGCCGCGUGAGGGAUGACGGCCUUCGGGUUGUAAACCUCUUUCAGCACCGACGAAGCGCAAGUGACGGUAGGUGCAGAAGAAGGACCGGCCAACUACGUGCCAGCCGCCGCGGUAAAAC
rnacentral:rRNA from 1 species